rnacentral:lncRNA from 1 species
AUGCAGAAGGAAAACAUUGAGCAAAUGUUGGAGUAUGCAACGAAUUCAAGCGACGAAUCAGAUUCAAGCACCCAAUCAACACCGUCUUUAUCGUUUUCUCCAAAUCCUGAUCGUCCUGCGUCUGCAAGUUUUUCUCUAUCUGUUUUCUCUCCUAAAACCCCGCUGUCUAGUAACUUGAACAAUGUUCAGCCUACACGAAACACCUCACAACUUCCCAUGAAUGAGUCCUCGUCGACCUCCAGUUAUUCUCAGCUCACCUUCAACCAUCUUCAAUCCAACUGUAACUCUCUUGAGACUCCACAAGACCUCUUUCCGUCAACCUCCAACGGGCUCAUGUCGACCCCAAACUCAUCUCAGAUUUCCUCAAAUUUUCUUAACGUUUCUUCUAACUGCCCGCACUCAUCCACUUCAAAUUAUUCUCACUUCAAUUCAGAUAAUCCACAAUCCAACACAAAAAAUCUAUCUACCCCCAAUCAUCCGCACUCUGACCCGAAUGAUCCUAACAGUACCUCUACACAUCCUCGGUCUGAUUCAAAUUCUUUGCCGUCCACACCAAAUCACCAAUCAAACCCAGAUCCGACCACAUCCACCAUCACAUCCAACACCAUAUCCACCAUCACAUCCAACACCACAUCCACCAUCACAUCCAACACCACAUCCACCAUCACAUCCAUCGCCACAACUACCACCAGAUCCGACACCGCAUCCAGCACCGCAUCCAACACCGCAUCCAACACCGCAUCCAACACCGCAUCCAACACCACAUUCACCACACCCACCACACCCAUCACCAUAUUCACCACAUCCGCCACAUCCAAUCCUUUUGAACUAGGCGCGAGCUGGGUCAAGGAGAAAUUGCAAAAAUACGAGGACGGCAGAGUAGUUUUAAAAUACUACAAUGAGAAAAAGUACUUGGUUAAAGCUAUGCGGAAGAAGCUAGCCGAAACCCUAAUAAAAGCAGAGCUAGAGACCGAUCCUUCCAAGAUUCCGCAGCCGGAAAGAUUUUCAAGUAUAGCUGCAGCUGUGUGCAAGUACUUCACUACCGAAACACCAAGUACAUACUAUAUUCCUUAUUCGAAUGAUGGACUGGGUAAAAAACACGGAGCCAAGGGCCUUCUUGUUGACAAAUUCAACUACAAGCGGAGAGGGUUCAUUUCUUGGGGUAUUGUUCAACCAAAACGCCGAGCCAAACAAUCUGAUUCGACUGGUGGCGAAGAUGGCGAGUUUAGUAUAACAGGCAUAACUAAUGAAAUAAAAGAUAGCGAAGUUUGGUGCCGCCAUAACUCUGAACCGGUGGAAGAACUAAUGAUAAACUGGCGUUCAACUCAUCGUCUCCGGCUUAAUUUAUUUUUCACCUCUGAUAAAGAUCCGUACGCCUACAUCAACACUUAUCCAGCCCUUACAAAGGAAAGAGGGUUCACAUUGAUUGACGCUGACUUUGCGCUCUCGAAACCGCACUGUAGAAACGGAUUGCUCCUGAAAUGGCCUCAGAUUAGGGACAAACUCUUAAGUUAUGGCGAAAGAGAAUUGGCGCUGAACCCGAAGUAUUUCGCCGCUGUAUUAUCAUCUUUAAACGUCGAUCUCACAAGUGAUGUUGAGCAGAUCAAGGAAAUCAAUGCCAUAUCUUUACUUCCAGCAUUGUUGCCAACAACGACUAUCAAAAAAAGUUGGAGGAUUUCAAAAAUAGAGGCAAAGAAUGGGUUUUUAAUCCACGCAGAAACUGAGAAAGCUGCACUUGAGAUAGUGACCUCGCGUAAUGCGCGUUUGAAUCAAUUCGGAUACGACGUUCAGCCUGUGGCGGUGGUGGUGGGCCAAUUUCCAAGACUGGAGUACUUGGUAGUGUAUAAAGACGUUAAAUAUGUUUGCGAAACUGCUUUGAAAGCUAUAGAUAUUGUAUUUAAACUUUUAUUUGUUAGAUGUCGGUUUCCCACCAGAUUCUUCUUUGUGUUGGGCAUUCCUUCGGGAGCAUGUGUAUAAGUUAGAUAUGCUGGGUAGCAGUAGAGGAUCCCCUCAUGUUAAGACACUGGCAAACGAUCUAAAAUUGUAAGUAACAGCCUUGUAAGUUGUGUGAGUGAAAACUGGCGUACAUCAUUUUGAUGCGUUACUGAAAAUUAGGGUUGAGCAUUAUUAUCAUGUCAUUUAUUGUUAGUGUGCCUUUUUUAUUUUUUUAUAUUUCAACUUAAAAUUAAUUUUACACAUCAAUAUUCAUAAGAAAGAUAUUUCAAGGUAUAGUUUAAUAUUUUCACUCCAUUAUCAUGGCUCAUUGUUUCAAGUGUCGAGGCGAGUCCCCCUUUCCCUCCGUAAAAGAUCUCAUUUCUCAUUUUGUAACUCAGCAUAAAAUGAAAGCAUGUGAACCUAUUACUUGCUCCUUCAAUCACUGCCCCCGUGCUUGCACUAAUAGAAAGGGAUUUAUUAAACAUUUCAAUGAUAUGCACGGCGUUAAAUCUGACAAUACGAAAAAAUCAGUUAUAUUAAAUAGUCAACACUUUUCUUCUCAAAGCAUUGCGACAAAUAGUGGAAUAGGCUCGACAACUCUUGAGACUUCUGGACCAUUAAAUUUUGAGGUUGAGCCUUCGCCUAAACAGGUGACUAGUAUAUCACCUCUGCAAUCAGAUUUUCAACUGAUAACCAUCGAAGAAAGAGUUUUUGGUUUUCUUAGCUUAUUACAUAGUUUCCCUGGCAUUCCAUCUUCUAAUAUUCAAAUGACGAUAGAGGGUGUCACAAACUUGCUCCAUGGUAUGCACGACGUAUAUCGGGAAAAGAUCCAAAAUGUUUGUGAAAAUUUGGACAAGGAGACUGCUCUCCAUAUUGUCACUAGUUUAAAUAACACCUUUACUGCUUCUGAAGAUGUGUUUAGUAAGUUUAAAACAACUUACCGCCAAGUGAAUAGUGUUUGAAAAAAGUAGUUUCUAUAUACCUCCUAAGCUGAACACCCUAGGUUAUGUUUCUAAAAAGAAAAAAAUUCGCGGUAUUUACAGGAGAACAUGGGUCAAAGAGCAUGCUGUUAUCAUACCUCUACGCGAAGUUUUGAAGCAAUAUUUAAGCCAAAAACAAGUGCUUGAGAGUAUACAAUUAUAUUUAAAAAGAUUAGAUCAGGAUAGAGAGGUUUUAUCAAAUAUUGUGCAAGGUAACUGUUGGCAAAAUUCGUCUCUACAAAAAGAUGAUGGGAUAGUACUGCCUUUGAUUCUAUUUAAUGAUGAUUUGGAAUGCGAUAAUGCACUUGGUGGUCAUGCUGGAACGAAUAAAAUCAAUGCUACUUAUUUCUCUAUUCCUUGCAUGCUUCCAGAGAAAAGAUCCUCUUUGAUCAGUUACUUCGUGGCUCUUUUAACAAAAACAAAAAAUAAGAAGCGUUUCGGUAACUGGAAACUUUUUCGGCCAAUUAUUGAAGAGCUUAACUUUUUGGCUAAGAAAGGCAUUACCGUUUCAUCAUCAGACGGCGAAAAACAAAAAAUAUAUUUUCUGUUAUCAACAUUAGCAGGUGACAAUCUGGGUCUAAAUGGGAUAGGAGGAUUUGUGGAAAAUUUUUCUCGUAGUAAGUAUUGUUGCAGGAUAUGCUCUGCUGACAAAGUACAGAGAGGGAGUAUCACCAUUGAGAGAGCGGAACUUCUCAGAAAGACAGAAACCUACGAUGCUCAAGUAGCAAUGAAACGCCCCUCAAAGACCGGAAUUAAAGAAAAGUGUGCUUUCAACAAAGUUACCAAGUUCCAUAUUCUAAAAAAAUGCUCCUUAGAUAUUUUACAUGAUCUUUUCGAGGGUAUUGUUAAAAGUGAAUUAAUCCUUAUUCUUAGAGUAUUUAUCUUCAGGAGGCGUUAUUUUACAGUGUCCGAUUUAAAUUCCCGCAUUCAAUCCUUUGAAUACGGCCCUGCAGAUUUGUCUAAUAAACCUCCUCUCUUUCAGAAAGAUUUCUUAAAGAGGAACAAGAUUAAAGUUUCAGCUUCAGAGUGUAUAUGUCUGCUGAAGUACUUUGGCCUCUUAUUUGCUGAUUUAGUGAACGAGAAUGACGAAUUCUGGCAGCUUUACUUAUCUCUCCGUAAAAUAGUCGAUGUAGUAAUGAGCCCAUCUAUCCCCAAAGAAGCUCUUCCUCUACUUGCAAUGUAUAUCCAAGAUCACCACUCUUUGUAUAUGAACUUAACAGGGAAACCACUGAGUUUUAAGCAUCACAACUUGAUCCAUUAUCCCAGAUUGAUUGCUGAAUUAGGACCCCUUAUCCAUAUAUGGACAAUGAGAUGGGAAGGUAAACAUCGCACCCUAAAAAAAGUUACCAACUCUGUUGCAACAAGGAAAAAUACAUGCCUCACAGCGGGUAAAAAGUGUCAACUUCAGUUAAGUCAUGCUUUUUUUUCGGGUUCGUUUAGCAAAAGCGCACCAAUAGUAGGACCAUUGGAUUCCAAUACAAGUCCCGAACUUUUUCGCCGAAAAUUUGUCAGGCAAGUUUUCACAACCACUUUACCAGACAUGAGCACUUUAACGAACGAAGGAAAACUAGUUCGAUGGGUCGAGCUGAAUGGCACAAAAUACUCGAAAGGUGUUACUUUAUAUCAAGAUAUUGAUGAAGAAACAAGUUUCCCCAUUUUCGGAUGUGUUGAAGACAUUCUCGUCACAAAAAAUCAAGAAGUUUAUUUUUUGCUUCGUAAUUUUCAAACUAUUUGCUUCAACAAAAAACGUCAUGCUUUUUUAAUUCAACCUGUCGAUUCGUAUUCUUUUCUUAAGAGUAAUCAGCUACACGAUUUUCACUUGCACACAGCCGUGCCAGGUGCAGCUGGCAAUGCUUUUGUGACGUUGCUUCAUAAUUUUUAAUUUGAAUUUUCUUAUGCUUUUUUUAUAACAUUUUUCUUGUAUUUCGUGAAUAAAUUUGAUUAUUUUUUCAUCAAAUAUGUUUCCUGAUUGCUCGUCGUAACGAUUUCCACAUAAUUCAAAAAUUUUCGGAUCUUGCCAGUCGGAUUUUUUUGUUUUAUUUUUGUCGCUAUUCUUGUUCUUCAAUUUAGAAACUCCAAAAAUAUUAAAAACAAGAGUAAAAUUAUAUUUUCCUGUUGCACUGUCUGUCUUGAAACUUAGCGACAAAAAAAGGAAGAGAGUAAGAAAGAUCGAGACAUAUACUGUAUAUAUAUUCUGCUAACUUACCUACGUUUGCGUUUUCGAAGUCGUAAAUUGAUAAUUUUUUUUGAAACUGUUAAAUUGAAGAGCAAAUUAACGUUUUUUUAAUCAACAUAUUUGAUGCUGCUGAAAUGGAAUGAAACUUGUUGCGCAAACUGAGAAAAACUUCCUUUUCUAUUCAAACCCAUUUUUAUGUCUUUUAAUGCUUUCUUACUCAGCAGUACUGAAUUUAUUAUUUUACAAUAGUGAAUUUUUCCUCUGUCAUAGGACAAUUUAAUUUUAAACAUCAUUUUAUGGAACGCCACUCUUUAAAAUUAUAUCGAAAAGAGCAAUAGAAUUCUCAAUUUCUAGGAUGAAAAAUUACAUGCGAAAAUGUAACUUCAUAGGGAAUUUUAAGAAAAUUUUAAGAAUUUAAUUAAUUUUAAGAAAAAAAUUCUUCAUCAAAUAAAUUUUAAAAUGUCCUUUGCAGAUUUAUCAACUCGCACUAAAAAUUUAGUAAACGUUAGAGAUAAAACUAGGCAACAUAGUUUGCUGAUUUUUAAACUACAUUUUG